GAUUGUAAAAAAAAGGAAAAAGAAAAAUUCGAAAAUAUAAAUAAUAAUAGUUAUAUAUAUAAUGAUCAAAUAAAUGAUGAUGCGAAUUGUGAUUUAACUUCCCAUUUAAUAAAAAAAGAAAAGGCGAAACAAAAAAAAAAACAAAAAAAAGAACAAAAAAAAAAACAAANNNNNNNNNNNNNNNNNNNNNNNNNNNNNNNNNNNNNNNNNNNNNNNNNNNNNNNNNNNNNNNNNNNNNNNNNNNNNNNNNNNNNNNNNNNNNNNNNNNNCAGUUAUUUCUAACCAAAGAAACUAAAGGUAAGGAGAAUUUAUACCAAGAAAGAAAAUAUGAUAAUUAUAACUUUAUCGAACAUAACAAUAAUUUAAUAAUCGAUCGAAAUUUGUAUAUACAACAAAAAAAUUCAAAAAGUGUAACCGAAAAGGAGAACAUAUAUUUAACAGAUUUAGAUGAAUCAACAAGUGCAAACUACAUAACCGAAACAUAUAAUUACAAUAAUAAUACUAUUCCAACUUUUUUAACUAUCAAAAACCCUUUUGCUAGUAUUUAUAAAAAUAUUUUUUUUUUUAAUCGCGUCGUUGAAGACUAUAAAAAUAAGAAUAAUCGAGACACAAAUAAUAAAAUAUGUUAUAACACUGCUCUUUCUAAAAUAACAAUGAAACAAAAAAAUGUACAUACAUCAUCUAUAAAAAAAAAUAGUGAUAACACGUUAUCUUCUUUGUAUGAAAAAAACAUACUAUACAGUACUAAUCAGAAAGAACAAACAUAUACUUUAAAAAAUAAUAAACACACUAUUUGUAACGAAUAUAUAUUUAAUGACCCGUUACAUAUUAACACAGACUCUUUAAUUCGACUAAAUGAAGAUUUAAAAAUUUUCAACGAAAUGAAAAAUAGUGUAGCUAGUACGAAUGCGGCUAGUACCAACGCGGCUAGUACCAACGCAUCCAGUACAAGUGGUAUUAGUACCAAUGGUAUUAGUACCAAUGGUAUUAGUACCAAUGGUAUUAGUACCAAUGGGAAUAGUACCAAUGGGAAUAGUACCAAUGGGAAUAGUACAAAUGGUGGUAGUACAAAUAGGGAUAGUACAAAUGGGGCUAUCACAAAUGAAACUCGUACAUAUAUAACUAGUACAAAUAUAAAUAGUGAAAAUAUAACCAGUAAAAAUGUAGUGAACCCCAAUAAAAACAGUAUACAGAAAAGUAAUAUAAAAGUUUUAUAUAAAAAAAAAACGAGCUCUAUAAAAUUUGAUGGUUUUAAAGAGGACAGCCUAGAAGAUAAUGAAAAGCUUUUAAGUAGCUUUGAAAGUAUUAAAGACAAUAAAAAAAAACAAGCAAUCUGGCUAGAACAAAACAUAAAUAGUAAUAACAGUAAUGUAAACAAUAAUAAUAGUUUCAAUGAAAUUGUUAAUUCUGAAAAUGAAAUAAAAUACAUGAACAGGCAUAAACGAUUAAUUCAAAUAGAAGAAAAACAAAUGGAAAGAAACUUUGACAUAUUUUUAUGUUUAUUCAUGAAAUAUGAAAAAAAAGAUUCUUAUUGCUUUUGUUUAUUAAGUGACGAAGAGUUAACUGAACAAUCGCUUUUUCAUCAUGCUUGUAUUAAACCCAUGCUAGAUGAGUAUAAAAAAAAAAAAGUGGAAAAAAUGAUGAAAGUGACAGACGUGACAGAGACCACUGACGUAGGUAAAACAGAACAAACAAAUCCAAAUAGAACCAUCGUAAAUAAUCAAAUCAAAAAUGAAGUAAGCACAUAUAACAACGAUUUCGAUUCUAUCCAUAUCAACAAACGAGUGAUCGAAAUUAUGAUACCCACGAUUAAAAAAAAUUAUUUUAACUAUGUUCAUAAAUUGUUCCAAAAAAAAAAAGAUGACCCAGAUAUAGAAUUUUUAGAUGACUUGAAAAAAGAAAUAAUGGAAAUAAAUUCUAAAAUAAAUAAUUAUUAUACUGUUAAAUCUGUUGGUAAAUAUGAUAAUAAUUUGUGUACAAAAAAUUGUAAUCCUUAUGAACAAAAAAUAAAAUUAAUUGAUAAACCCCAAUGGAAUAAUAAAGAAAAUUUACACAUCUUAUUAAAAAAACAACAGAAUUAUAAUCCUUUUACAAUUUUUGGAACAAGUAUAAAAGAAGUGAAUUUAGAAGAAAUUUUUACAUUAGAUACAUAUAAUAAUUAUGUUACUAAUGAAGAUAGAUUUAAAAAUAAAAUAUUAUAUGAACUAUAUAUUGGAAAUUAUAUAAAUAAUUUAUAUGAAC
ensembl:lncRNA